UGAAUCAUAACUAUGGUCCAGAAGUGUA
rnacentral:piRNA from 1 species